GUGCUCGCUUCGGCAGCACACAUACUAAGAUUAUCACAGCCCCUGUGCAAGGAUGACACGCAAGUUCGUGAAGUGUUCCAUAUUUAA
ensembl:snRNA Gm23219 predicted gene, 23219